AGUGAUUUUGAUAAAGAAUCACAAAUGGAAGAAGCAAGAAGACUUUGCUAUGUUGGAAUAACAAGAGCAAAAGAAACUCUAUAUAUGACAUCAGCAGA
rfam:Clostridium baratii str. Sullivan, complete genome.